UACGUAGGGGGCGAGCGUUGUCCGGAGUUACUGGGCGUAAAGCGCACGCAGGCGGUCUGCUAAGUUUGGAGUGACAGUUGGUGGCUUAACUGCCAAAGUGCUUCGAAAACUGACAGACUUGAGGGCUUCAGAGGGACAUGGAACUCCAGGUGUAGUGGUGAAAUGCGUAGAUAUCUGGAAGAACACCAAAGGCGAAGGCAGUGUCCUGGGUGGUCGCUGGCGCUGAGAGGCGAAAGCCAGGGGAGCGAACGGG
rnacentral:rRNA from 1 species